rnacentral:RNase_P_RNA from 1 species
AGCCGGACGGUUGCACCCUACGGGUGAGGAAAGUCCGAGCAUCACAGGGCAGAGUGGCAGAGAAAUCCUGCCGGAGGCAACUCCAGGGAAAGUGCAACAGAAAAGAACCGCGGCGCAAGCCGUAAGGGUGAAAAGGUGCGGUAAGAGCGCACCGGCAGUUCGGCGACGAAAUUGGCCGUGUAAACCCCGCUCGAUGCAAGAGAAAAGGAAGAAUGGAUCGCCCGUCCCUUCCCUCAAUCGCUGGAGUCCGCAGGCGACUGCGGACCAAGACAGAUGACCGUCCUCGACAGAACUCGGCUUACAGGCUAACCC